AUCCGAUGGAUCCAAAGGAUCCGAUGGAUAAAUAGAUUUAUCCAUCGGAUCCAUCGCAUCCAUUGGAUCCAUCGCAUCCAUUGGAUCCAUCGCAUCCUUUGGAUCCAUCGGA
rnacentral:miRNA from 1 species